UUAAUUGCCACUGCAGCAUCAUCAGGAUUCUCAUAUAUACUGAUCAAUGGGACAUUAAAAUGGAAACCCAAGAAAUGUUAUGUGAAUCUUGAUGGUGCUCCAACAGCAAAAAC
rnacentral:pre_miRNA from 1 species